GACGAACGCUGGCGGCGUGCUUAACACAUGCAAGUCGAACGGUAAGGCUCCAGCUUGCUGGGGUACACGAGUGGCGAACGGGUGAGUAACACGUGGGUGACCUGCCCUGCACUUCGGGAUAAGCCUGGGAAACUGGGUCUAAUACCGGAUAGGACCGCACCGUGAGGGGGUGGUGGAAAGUUUUUUCGGUGUGGGAUGGGCCCGCGGCCUAUCAGCUUGUUGGUGGGGUAAUGGCCUACCAAGGCGGCGACGGGUAGCCGGCCUGAGAGGGUGGACGGCCACAUUGGGACUGAGACACGGCCCAGACUCCUACGGGAGGCAGCAGUGGGGAAUAUUGCACAAUGGGCGGAAGCCUGAUGCAGCGACGCCGCGUGGGGGAUGACGGCCUUCGGGUUGUAAACUCCUUUCACCUUCGACGAAGGGUUUCUGACGGUAGAUGGAGAAGAAGCACCGGCUAACUACGUG
rnacentral:rRNA from 1 species